rnacentral:rRNA from 1 species
AGAGUUUGAUCCUGGCUCAGGAUGAACGCUGGCGGCGUGCUUAACACAUGCAAGUCGAGCGGACCGAUCUAAAGGAAACCUUCGGGUGGAAAGUAGUGAGGUUAGCGGCGGACGGGUGAGUAACGCGUGGGUAACCUGCCCUAUGCAGGGGGAUAACACAUCGAAAGAUGUGCUAAUACCCCAUAAUACUAAACUAACACAUGUUGGUUUAGUCAAAGGAUUUCCGGCAUAGGAUGGACCCGCGUCUGAUUAGCUAGUUGGUGGGGUAAAGGCCUACCAAGGCGACGAUCAGUAGCCGACCUGAGAGGGUGAUCGGCCACACUGGAACUGAGACACGGUCCAGACUCCUACGGGAGGCAGCAGUGGGGAAUAUUGCACAAUGGGCGAAAGCCUGAUGCAGCAACGCCGCGUGAGCGAAGAAGGCCUUCGGGUCGUAAAGCUCUGUCCUAAGGGAAGAAUAAUGACGGUACCUUAGGAGGAAGCCCCGGCUAACUACGUGCCAGCAGCCGCGGUAAUACGUAGGGGGCGAGCGUUAUCCGGAAUCACUGGGCGUAAAGGGUGCGUAGGCGGCCAAAUAAGCCAGAGGUGAAAGGCUACGGCUCAACCGUAGUAAGCCUUUGGAACUGUAUGGCUUGAGUGCAGGAGAGGAGAGUGGAAUUCCUAGUGUAGCGGUGAAAUGCGUAGAUAUUAGGAGGAACACCAGUGGCGAAGGCGACUCUCUGGACUGCAACUGACGCUGAGGCACGAAAGCGUGGGGAGCGAACAGGAUUAGAUACCCUGGUAGUCCACGCCGUANACGAUGAGUGCUAGGUGUCGGGGGUUCACACCCUCGGUGCCGGAGUUAACGCAUUAAGCACUCCGCCUGGGGAGUACGGUCGCAAGACUGAAACUCAAAGGAAUUGACGG